UAUGAACGCUGGCGGCGUGCCUAAUACAUGCAAGUCGAGCGAACAGACGAGGAGCUUGCUCCUCUGACGUUAGCGGCGGACGGGUGAGUAACACGUGGAUAACCUACCUAUAAGACUGGGAUAACUUCGGGAAACCGGAGCUAAUACCGGAUAAUAUAUUGAACCGCAUGGUUCAAUAGUGAAAGACGGUUUUGCUGUCACUUAUAGAUGGAUCCGCGCCGCAUUAGCUAGUUGGUAAGGUAACGGCUUACCAAGGCAACGAUGCGUAGCCGACCUGAGAGGGUGAUCGGCCACACUGGAACUGAGACACGGUCCAGACUCCUACGGGAGGCAGCAGUAGGGAAUCUUCCGCAAUGGGCGAAAGCCUGACGGAGCAACGCCGCGUGAGUGAUGAAGGUCUUCGGAUCGUAAAACUCUGUUAUUAGGGAAGAACAAAUGUGUAAGUAACUAUGCACGUCUUGACGGUACCUAAUCAGAAGGCCACGGCUAACUACGUG
rnacentral:rRNA from 1 species